rnacentral:piRNA from 1 species
UGCAAACACUUGUUAGUAGAAGUUUUAAAUG